AAGGAGGAAGCACUUGCAGCACACCGUGGUUCCGGGCAGGGACGGCCGCGCAGCUGCACACUGGGCGACACAUCAGCCGACCUGGGGGGAGGUACUAGCCCGUUUGAGCAUUGGCUGCUCUCAGCACCAUCUUAGAAGGCUGAACCGGUCCAUACAGAGUUGUGGCUGAUCCGGAAUGCUCUGGGUCCUGAGCCACAGCGUUUGAAAGGAGGACUUCGCAUCCGAUGUUUGAUUUUUGGAUCCCAAAAAGCAAAGAAGAAAGAGUAACAUGUUGCUACUUUGGGAUAUGGGGGCAAAGGAUGAGACUCUCAAGGUGGAGGGAAUUGCCUUAGGAGCCUGUUCUAGAGGGGAUUAUCAGCCCUGGGAAGAUGUAUCUCUGGCUGAAUCAGCUUGAUGUGUUAUGGAAGAGAGCAUUCGACUUAUCUCCACUGGGCCAAGCCUGCCGUUCACCUGGCACUUCCACUGGCCCCCAGGGGAAGCACUCAGAGUUCCCCACAUUGGACACUUCAUCGGGUCCCCUGAUGCUUUGUCACUGGCCACUGUGGGCCUUUGCUUUUUCAGAUCACAGCACCAGGGGCCUCGUGGGCUGAUUCCAUGAGUUUCAGCCAGAAUUCUCAGGCUCUUUUCAACAUACGGUCAGUGCUUCAUGGAAAGACCUCUGAGGCAGUUUCUCGGUUGAGUGUCCCAGUGACAGUGAAGCCAUCUCAUAGUUCUUUCAGUCAUGAAGCUACACUGAAUUGUUUGGAUGGAAAAGGUGGUCAGACCUCUGUCCUACCACGGGGUGCCAGGCACCGGUUCCUCCCAGGCUCCUGCCAGGCCCCAAGGCAGGGUAUAAGCAACAGCAUUUGAGAAGAGAAACCUUUAGAGCGACAAGGGAACCUUAGAACCUCUAGCCUGUUCAUUUUGAGCUAGGGUUUUUUUGGAGGCCUAGGGAUAUUCAGAGCUUCUGGUGGGGUAGGAGCAGACUGUCCCGACCUUCAGAGCUCCACGUGCUGGUGCGAUUCUGGGCUAGCGCAGUGUGCUGUUUCUGGCCUUGAACCGGGAGUGUGGUGCUGGCAUGAAGAAGCCACCUACCUUGAAAACUUUGUGGGGAUUUGUGUGAAGGAUGAAGUGUUUUUGUUUCUAUCCUCUGCAUUUCCCGGAGUCCACAUUUGUCCUUUAUGUCACCUGUCAUUCCCUAGAUCUUAAAAGGAAACGGAGGAAGAGAGAGGCGCUCAGGGAAGGGUGAGCCGCGUGAGUGAGGGAGUGGGAGACAGCACGCGGGAAUCCUGACAGCUCAGCUGAGAGGACAAGUUCUGCAGUUUGGCCUUUGGUUCCUCACAAGACUCUAAAAACGGUGUAAACUGACUCUACUUGUCCAAGGGAAAUUGGGACUACCUUCAGUCCUUGCGUGCAUGUCUCCAGACUUUCCAGGGCUACAUAAAUAAUUAGAACCUUCAGACAGAAUCUAUGAAGGAACACUGGACAGGACUUCACUAUUCUUAGGGGCCAUGCAAACAGCAAAAUCUCCAAGAAAAACACAAAAAAUGCCGAGAUGUGUGCUGUAAACAGUAUGCAGUCCCGGGGCAGGAGCUGAAACACAAGCCUUGGUCUCAGCUUUGAACAUGGGCCUCGAGAGCUCAGACUUCUUGCCUCUCUGGGUGUAUCUUCAAGUGGCCCUGCAGCAAGUGCUGAAGUGUGGACUUCAGGUUACAAGUAAAUUCUGAGACAGCCAGCGAGAGAGGGAACACAAGCAAAGGGAAUGGGAGAGG